GCAAAAGCUCAAAUUUGAAACCUUCGGGAUUGUAAUUUGAAGAUUUGGCAUUGGAGAAAGCUAACCCAAGUUGCUUGGAAUAGUACGUCAUAGAGGGUGACAACCCCGUCUGGCUAACCGUUCUCCAUGUAUUGCCUUAUCAAAGAGUCGAGUUGUUUGGGAAUGCAGCUCAAAGUGGGUGGUAAACUCCAUCUAAAGCUAAAUACUGGUGAGAGACCGAUAGCGAACAAGUACUGUGAAGGAAAGGUGAAAAGAACUUUGAAAAGAGAGUGAAAUAGUAUGUGAAAUUGUUGAUAGGGAAGGAAAUGAGUGGAGAGUGGUUGAGGUUUCAGCUUGCCUUUGGGUAGGUGUAUUGCCAACGCCGAGUCAUUGACAGCGAGACGGCGGUU
rnacentral:rRNA from 1 species